UACAGAGGUCUCGAGCGUUGUUCGGAUUUAUUGGGCGUAAAGGGCGCGUAGGCGGCGCGGUAAGUCGGGUGUGAAAUCUCGGAGCUUAACUCCGAAACUGCAUUCGAUACUGCCGUGCUUGAGGACUGGAGAGGAGACUGGAAUUUACGGUGUAGCGGUGAAAUGCGUAGAUAUCGUAAGGAAGACCAGUGGCGAAGGCGGGUCUCUGGACAGUACCUGACGCUGAGGCACGAAGGUCAGGGGAGCAAACGGG
rnacentral:rRNA from 1 species